GACGAACGCUGGCGGCGUGCCUAAUACAUGCAAGUAGAAGCUAGUUGCGAACGGGUGAGUAACGCGUAGGAACCUGCCCCAUAGCGGGGGAUAACUAUUGGAAACGAUAGCUAAUACCGCAUACUGUGAGAUGGACCGGCGUGGUAUUAGCUAGGUGGUGAGGUAAAGGCUCACCAAGGCGACGAUCCGUAGCUGGGUUGAGAGGACGACCAGCCACACUGGAACUGAGACACGGCCCAGACUCCUACGGGAGGCAGCAGUGGGGAAUUUUGGACAAUGGGGGAAAGCCUGAUGCAGCCAUCCCGCGUAUGCGAUGAAGGCCGUCGGGUUGUAAAGCACUUUUGGCAGGGAAGCGGUACCUGCAGAAUAAGCACCGGCUAACUACGUGCCAGCAGCCGCGGUAAUUC
rnacentral:rRNA from 1 species